rnacentral:lncRNA from 1 species
CCUCUACAAAACAAAGCGCUCCUUCGUAUGCCCACUUCCCCUCAAACAAUGGGAGACCUUUUACAGCUGAGAAGAACUCAAAAUCCACUUUUAUUCUUACUUUCACUAAUCCUUUAAAAACACAUCUUACCUCCUCCCCAUAUCCCGUUUCUAUCUUAUAUUUCCUACUCAGAAAAAUUGACAUCUUAGCUUGUCCCCCCAAAAAAUUUAACAGUUGACAUUUUCUUUUCUGUUGCUUACUAUAUUGAAACCCCAAAAUAAAAACAGUGUUAUUGAAAAUCUCCCCUACAGCUUUAAACAAAGACUCCAGCAUUUCCAGAAGGUGACUGUUGACCCAGGGUUUAGAGUGUUCCCUCAGCAGUAGAAGGUGACUGUUGACCCAGGGUUUAGAGUAUUCCCUCAGCAGUAGAAGGUGACUGUUGACCCAGGGUUUAGAGUGUUCCCUCAGCAGUAGGUGACUGUUGACCCAGGGUUUAGAGUGUUCCCUCAGCAGUAGAAGGUGACUGUUGACCCAGGGUUUAGAGUGUUCCCUCAGCAGUAGGUGACUGUUGACCCAGGGUUUAGAGUGUUCCCUCAGCAGUAGGUGACUGUUGACCCAGGGUUUAGAGUAUUCCCUCAGCAGUAGUAGGUGACUGUUGACCCAGGGUUUAGAGUAUUCCCUCAGCAGUAGGUGACUGUUGACCCAGGGUUUAGAGUGUUCCCUCAGCAGUAGAAGGUGACUGUUGACCCAGGGUUUAGAGUGUUCCCUCAGCAGUAGAAGGUGACUGUUGACCCAGGGUUUAGAGUAUUCCCUCUCAUACACUAUGGCUUUUUUUUAUGUCUCUUGCCCCAUUUACGUUUAAAGAAGAAAUCUUAAAACUGCUCAUGGGUGAUAAAAAAAUACAGAGGAAGACCCAGAAACCACAUCUCUU